UUUUUUUCAGAGGGACCUUUGUUCUCAGAUGAUCCAUUAUUUGUGGUAUCACUGCAGAAUUUGGGACAAAUUUCAACUUAUAUCAUAGAACUCCUUAGCGUACUUUAUUAUUCAAUCCCCUCACUCCUUCCCUUAUGCCUCCAAACACAUUCUUCUUCCUCUCACUACCAGAGUGAUUUCAGAAGAUUCUGUCGCAGGUUCUCGGAAGCCUAUUGUGCAGUAACAAAGAAUUCCAGCAGUGAGCUGUGAGUUCCGUCCUUACUGGCUUUCCCAAGUGGAAGGCUACCCUCAUCUUUCGCUAAUGGCAGACUAGGACAAGCAUUAAGCAGGCCUGCAAGCUUGUUAAGCACUAGGAACCCAAGCAAGAACUCACCAUGCCGAUCAAACCUGUUGGGUGGAUAUGUGGGCAGUCGAGGGGAUCCAGAAGGCAAUCAUGGACCUUGUAGAUGAGUUUAAAGAUGAAUUUCCCACCAUCCUAAGAUUAUCACAGUCUAAUCAGAAAAGAGAACCUGCGCAGAAAACAUCCAAAAUCAGGAUGGCUAUUGCUUUAGCUAAGAUUAAUCGAACAACAUUAAUUCGUGGAUUAAACAGCAUAUCCAGAUCCUCCAAAUCAGUGGCCAAACUUCUGCAUCCUCAGCUUGCAUGCAGACUUUUAGAGCUAAGGGACAUAUCUGGUCGUCUGCUGAGGGAAGUUAAUGUGCCAAGGCAACCCCUAUAUAACAUGCAGGUCAGAAAGGGUUCUUUGUUUGAAAUCAUCUCCUUUCCAGCAAAGACUGCUUUAACUAGCAUAAUAUAUGCUUCAUAUGCAGCACUAAUUUAUUUGGCGGUCUGUGUUAAUGCUGUGCUGGAGAAGAUAAAGAACAUCUUCCAGGAAGAAGAAUCCAUAAGGCAAAACAGAGAGGAGGGUGAAAAUUGUAGAAAAGCCUUUUCUGAGCCUGUGCUUUCAGAGCCUAUGUUUGCUGAAGGGGCAAACUAUACACGGUCGUCCAUCAAAAUCCUGGGGAAGAGAAUAACUAAUUUAAUAUUCCGACAUGUCAAAUGUUCUUGAUACACAAUAGACUCUGAAGAGAAUCUGCUGCAGAAGAACCAGGUUAAAAAACAGUACGUCUAAGGGGUUGGGGUGACAAGAUUCUGCAUGUCUAAAAAGCUCCCAUGUGACACCAAAGUUGCUGGUCUAUGGACAACAGUUUGAGGAGCAAGGUCUUCAAGCUCUCAUUAUGGACUGCAACUAGGGAAAAUUCUAUGAAACUAUUAUCAGCUCAGAAAUAUAAAAACUGGUCACUGAGAUGACAGCUGAGCUGAAAUGCCCAAAAUGCAAAUGAACUAGACAUGCCAACAGCUGGGGGAAGAGAAUUCCAUACUGAAGCAAUAGCAAAUACAAAAGCCUGAAGGAAAGAAAAGGCUUGGUGAAUGUGUUCCAGAAGACUAGAGCAUCAUGUGCAAGAUUGGUAAAUAGGCAGGAGCCAGGUUGUGCAGUGCUGUGUACAGAUUUUACUCUAUUAGGAGCAAAGGAAAGUCACUAAAGAGUAUAAAGCAGGAAAGUGUGACUUGAUAUCUUUUUGAAAGAAUGCCCCGGCUCUGUGGAGAAUGGAUUAUAGCAAAACAACAAUGAAUGCACAGAAAUCAGAAAGCUAGGGGUCCAUGAAAAAGAUGGUGGUUUGCCCCAGGGGGUUGACGCUGUAGGGGAGAAAAGGUAACAGUAACAGUAGCAGCAGUAGCUACAAUUAUAUUGUGUUAACUAUGUGCCAGGCACUAUUCUAAGACUACAUUUAUUUAUUAACUCCUUUAAUCCUCCAUGUUACUAAAGAGGUAUUAUUUUAAUCUUAUAGUACAGAGAAGUUGCGUUGAUGAACUAGAAUGAAGAUGCUACAGAAAAAUAAAUAAAGAUGACCCCCAAGUUUUAGGUUUGUGCAGCUAGGUGAACUGUAGUGCGAAAGACUGUGAUGAGAAAGGCCAAGAAAUCAAUGGUAUUUUUGCAGGAUGGAAAAUCAAGAGCUAUAUACAUUUUUCACAUAUUGAGUUUAAGGUAUCACAGAGACAUCCAAGUAGAGAUAUCAAGUCAGCAACCAGAUAUAAGAGACUAAAGUUGAGAAUUUCUAGAGAGAAAAAUUGGGGAGUUUCCAGGUUAUAGAAUUCUAUGGACUCACUUGGAGAGGAAGUGUACGUAAGGAAGAAGGUCUAAGACAAUUCCUGAAGCACUUCAACAUUUAGGGGUCAGGUGGAAGAGGGGCUGUAGAGACGCAAGACCAGUAGAGUAUCCAAUAUAUUGCUAAUCAAAUGAAAUUCAUUCACAGCUUU